rnacentral:rRNA from 1 species
GACGAACGCUGGCGGCGUGCUUAACACAUGCAAGUCGAGCGGUAAGGCCCUUUCGGGGGUACACGAGCGGCGAACGGGUGAGUAACGCGUGGGUGACCUGCCCUCAGCUCUGGGAUAAGCCUGGGAAACCGGGUCUAAUACCGGAUAUGACUCCAUGACGCAUGUUGUGGGGUGGAAAGCCUUGUGCGGCUGAGGAUGGGCCCGCGGCCUAUCAGCUUGUUGGUGGGGUGAUGGCCUACCAAGGCGACGACGGGUAGCCGGCCUGAGAGGGCGACCGGCCACACUGGGAUUGAGACACGGCCCAGACUCCUACGGGAGGCAGCAGUGGGGAAUCUUGCGCAAUGGGCGAAAGCCUGACGCAGCGACGCCGCGUGA